CACCCAACAGCUAGCCCACCAAUACAAUAUCAACCCAACGCUAUUAAUACCCCAACAAGCACUAGUAACUAAGACUAUUAAACCAUUCUCCCCCUUAAGUAUAGGAGAUAGAAAAAG
rnacentral:rRNA from 1 species